ACCCCGGUAGCUCAAUAGGAUAGAGCGAGGCUCUCCUAAAGCCUAGGUUGUGGGUUCGACUCCCGCCCGGGGUA
rnacentral:tRNA from 1 species